rnacentral:tRNA from 3 species
UCCGCAAUAGCUCAGUUGGUAGAGCAAGUGACUGUUAAUCACUGGGUCGCAGGUUCGAGUCCUGCUUGCGGAGCCA